rnacentral:rRNA from 1 species
CCUACGGGAGGCAGCAGUGGGGAAUAUUGGGCAAUGGAGGAAACUCUGACCCAGCAAUGCCGCGUGAAUGAAGAAGGUCUUCGGAUUGUAAAGUUCUUUAGUCAGGGAAGAAUAAAAUGACGGUACCUGAAGAAUAAGCUCCGGCUAACUACGUGCCAGCAGCCGCGGUAAUACGUAGGGAGCAAGCGUUGUUCGGAAUGACUGGGCGUAAAGGGAGCGUAGGCCGCAUGUCAAGCGUGCUGUGAAAUGGCCGGGCUCAACCCGGGCCGUGCAGCGCGAACUGGCGUGCUUGAGUCCGCGGAAAGCAGGCGGAAUUCGUCGUGUAGCGGUGAAAUGCUUAGAUAUGACGAAGAACCCCGAUUGCGAAGGCAGCUUGCUGCAGCGGAACUGACGCUGAUGCUCGAAAGCGCGGGUAUCGAACAGGAUUAGAUACCCGAGUAGUC